UACGUAGGGUGCAAGCGUUGUCCGGAUUUAUUGGGCGUAAAGAGCUCGUAGGCGGUUUGUCGCGUCGGAUGUGAAAACCCAGGGCUUAACCCUGGGCUUGCAGUGGAUACGGGCAGACUAGAGGCAGGUAGGGGAAAAUGGAAUUCCCGGUGUAGCGGUGAAAUGCGCAGAUAUCGGGAGGAACACCGGUGGCGAAGGCGGUUCUCUGGGCCUGACCUGACGCUGAGGAGCGAAAGCGUGGGGAGCGAACAGG
rnacentral:rRNA from 1 species